GCGGAAUUAGACCGAGCUCUUGGGACCCCUUUUUCCUCGGACCACAGAAACCGAGAACGUGCCAUGGAAAAAAAAAACUCUGUAAAACUUGCUUGCGAUAGAUUUAACCCUCUUCCACCUUCGCCUGCCAAGAGUGGGGGCAUUGCACAUAACAGCUUUCUGAAAUCUUGGGCAAAAUAAGUUUUUUAAACGUGCCUGCCACAUUUUUUUUUCUCUCAGCAUUGCCUCAUGCACGGUCGAGUUGCAGUAAUCGGUGGAUGUAAGGACACUCCCAGAACAUUCAUUGCAGAACUGGGGUAAGAAGAGCUCCUUAUUUCAUUAGCCACUUAAUUCACUGUAGGGGACAUCAACUCUGGGCUUGAAGACUGACCCAAAACCCAUUUAAAGGGAAUGGGAAUAUCCUGACAGGGAAGGAGAAAAAGGUCUCCAGCCCGGCUUAUUUACUCACAUUCUUCCUCAAACGUGUGACCGGAGGAAGACAGGUCACAGCUGGACGACGUGGAAAAACAAAGGAGGCAUCCAAUCGGUUUCUGCGCUUGAUGUCUGACGGAAGCAGAGCUACCGCGCUGCCUGUGUUGUUUCGUGAGAGAAAUAGCAGGGAGCGAAAGGCAAAGUGGGCUUGAUUGGAUCAAAGUGAAAGAAGUGCUGACUGAGGAUAAGCCGCAUUGCGCAUGGGCGGUCCUCCUUGGCUGGGCCGGUCAGCUGAGAUACAUUUCCGAGUAUUUCCAUCUUCUCUGGCAGACUUCUUGGAAAGGGGGCGGGGGUGUGGUUGCGCUUUCUCCUCGGUUACCAGAGCCAGUCCUGACGUCCGCCCUCGGUCUCCCGAUGGUGCCGAGCCUAUGCGGCCUCACCCAUCCACACCUCCGUCUGCGCACUCCACCCGAGGGCUACACCCUGCAAUCUCCAGAUCCAAACUGGACCUCUCAACAACACCCUUCCUAGCUGUUAACGACGGGCCAAGCUUCUAGGGCAAAUAUUAAAAUGUUCAGCGAGAGCUCACAGCAAAGAAAAUGGUCCUUUUUUUCCCCCACACUGCACUGAGAAAGCUGCUGAAAGAUGCCGUUGUGGUUAACCUGGUACUGGAAACGAGGUUAUUUAAAACUCAGCGGGGGCUUCCUUUUAAAGCAGGUUCCCGUUGCAGGGUAACGAGGACGAGGAGAGGUAAUGAGGUUCACAGCUUUGGCUAAUGCUAAAGUCAGAGCACUGUAUUUGCCAGGCCGUUUGGAAAAUCCCCCACAGCUACUUUUUUUUUGCAUUCUUUUGUCUGACACGCACCCACUACCCGAGCCUCGGGCAGCCACCUACCUUUCAACACCUUGAAAGCUCAACGGCUGGACAAUGAAAGGAAGGCAAUGCAAAAACAAAAAUAAAAAGGAUAACAUUU